CAAAAUGACCCCGUAACUUCGGGAGAAGGGGUGCUCUUUAGGGUUAACGCCCAGAAGAGCCGCAGUGAAUAGGCCCAAGCGACUGUUUAUCAAAAACACAGGUCUCUGCUAAACCGUAAGGUGAUGUAUAGGGGCUGACGCCUGCCCGGUGCUGGAAGGUUAAGAGGAGUGGUUAGCUUCUGCGAAGCUACGAAUCGAAGCCCCAGUAAACGGCGGCCGUAACUAUAACGGUCCUAAGGUAGCGAAAUUCCUUGUCGGGUAAGUUCCGACCCGCACGAAAGGCGUAACGAUUUGGGCACUGUCUCAACGAGAGACUCGGUGAAAUCAUAGUACCUGUGAAGAUGC
rnacentral:rRNA from 1 species